rnacentral:rRNA from 1 species
GACGGAGGGUGCAAGCGUUGCUCGGAAUCAUUGGGCGUAAAGAGCGUGUAGGCGGCCCGGUAAGUCCGCUGUAAAAGUCAAAGGCUCAACCUUUGAAUGUCAGUGGAUACUGCCGGGCUAGAGUCCGGAAGAGGCGAGUGGAACUCCUGGUGUAGCGGUGGAAUGCGCAGAUAUCAGGAAGAACACCAACGGCGAAGGCAGCUCGCUGGGACGGUACUGACGCUGAGACGCGAAAGCGUGGGGAGCGAACAGG